rnacentral:rRNA from 1 species
UGGGGAAUUGUUCGCAAUGGGCGCAAGCCUGACGACGCAACGCCGCGUGGAGGAUGAAGGUCUUCGGAUUGUAAACUCCUGUUGAUCGGGAAGAACUUCCCUUGGGUUAAUACCUCGAGGGAUUGACGGUACCGGUUGAGGAAGCCCCGGCUAACUCUGUGCCAGCAGCCGCGGUAAUACAGAGGGGGCAAGCGUUGUUCGGAAUUACUGGGCGUAAAGGGCGCGUAGGCGGCCACCUAAGUCGGACGUGAAAUCCCUCGGCUCAACCGAGGAACUGCGUCUGAUACUGGGUGGCUUGAGUUCGGGAGAGGGAUGUGGAAUUCCAGGUGUAGCGGUGAAAUGCGUAGAUAUCUGGAGGAACAUCUGUGGCGAAGGCGGCAUCCUGGACCGACACUGACGCUGAGGCGCGAAAGCCAGGGGAGCAAACGGGAUUAGAUACCCAUGUAGUCCCUGAGCGGGCUGGCAAGGCGCAU